rnacentral:lncRNA from 1 species
AUUGAGAUCAAACGCGAUGAAAGAUCUAGAUUCAUUUUCUGGUUAAGGGCGAUCGAAAGGUCGAGAUUAAACGCGAUGAACGACCUAGAUUAAUGUGAGAUGAGUAGAAAUAGUUCACAUCACCCUAAAUCCGAACUCUAACUGUAAGCCUCCUACCGAAGAAAAAGAACCAGAUGAUAGAGAAAAGGAGCCGACCGCCGACCCUGUCGCACCAAAACCACCUCUGACCGCCAAAAAAGGUAAAAAUUCUCUUACAUGUUCAGAAUUCAAUUCCGAGCACCCCUGUGGCCAUAUCGAGCAAAACGAACAACGAAUGAGCCAGAAACUGUGGAGAAAGCCUAGCAAAGCCGUCGUGGACAAAACUCACAACCUCCUCCGAUGAGUCCUUUCUCGUUUCAUGUUUUGUGCAAUUUUUUCAUCAUUGUGUUCACCGUUCUGUUUUCUACAAGUUGAACAAAGAAGAAAUUCAAACCGCAAAGGUGAGCCGACGGAGCCGCCGCACCCGGAAAACUCCACCACUGGUAAGUUUCUGU